CAGCCGCCGCGGUAAUACGAAGGGGGCUAGCGUUGCUCGGAAUCACUGGGCGUAAAGCGCACGUAGGCGGACUUUUAAGUCAGGGGUGAAAUCCCAAGGCUCAACCUUGGAACUGCCUUUGAUACUGGAAGUCCUGAGUUCGGGAGAGGUGAGUGGAACUGCGAGUGUAGAGGUGAAAUUCGUAGAUAUUCGCAAGAACACCAGUGGCGAAGGCGGCUCACUGGCCCGAUACUGACGCUGAGGUGCGAAAGCGUGGGGAGCAAACAGGAUUAGAGACCCCCGUAGUCCCUGUCUCUUAUAC
rnacentral:rRNA from 1 species